rnacentral:tRNA from 1 species
GCCUGGCUGGCUCAGUCGGUAGAGCAUGUGACUCUUGAUCUCAGGGUUGUGAGUUCAAGCCCCACGUUGGGUG